rfam:Ictidomys tridecemlineatus contig036162, whole genome shotgun sequence.
UGGGUUAUGGCUCAGAGGUAAAGCGCUCACCUAGCAUGUGAGAGACACUGGGUUUGACCCUCAGCACCACAU